UCUCCGUAGGUGAACCUGCGGAGGGAUCAUUACCAGAGAUGGCGGGCCCCCGCGCCCCCGUCCCCAACCCUAUGUUGACUUAAACCUUUUGCCUCGGGGGCAGAGCGGCCGCCGCCGCCCCCGGAGGACCACCAAACUCUGUCUCUGUACGUCGGAGUCUUAAUGCAAAUAAAUAAAAACUUUCAACAACGGAUCUCUUGGUUCUGGCAUCGAUGAAGAACGCAGC
rnacentral:misc_RNA from 1 species